rnacentral:rRNA from 2 species
GGGCUCGCAGGCGGUUUCUUAAGUCUGAUGUGAAAGCCCCCGGCUCAACCGGGGAGGGUCAUUGGAAACUGGGAAACUUGAGUGCAGAAGAGGAGAGUGGAAUUCCACGUGUAGCGGUGAAAUGCGUAGAGAUGUGGAGGAACACCAGUGGCGAAGGCGACUCUCUGGUCUGUAACUGACGCUGAGGAGCGAAAGCGUGGGGAGCGAACAGGAUUAGAUACCCUGGUAGUCCACGCCGUAAACGAUGAGUGCUAAGUGUUAGGGGGUUUCCGCCCCUUAGUGCUGCAGCUAACGCAUUAAGCACUCCGCCUGGGGAGUACGGUCGCAAGACUGAAACUCAAAGGAAUUGACGGGGGCCCGCACAAGCGGUGGAGCAUGUGGUUUAAUUCGAAGCAACGCGAAGAACCUUACCAGGUCUUGACAUCCUCUGACAACCCUAGAGAUAGGGCUUUCCCUUCGGGGACAGAGUGACAGGUGGUGCAUGGUUGUCGUCAGCUCGUGUCGUGAGAUGUUGGGUUAAGUCCCGCAACGAGCGCAACCCUUGAUCUUAGUUGCCAGCAUUCAGUUGGGCACUCUAAGGUGACUGCCGGUGACAAACCGGAGGAAGGUGGGGAUGACGUCAAAUCAUCAUGCCCCUUAUGACCUGGGCUACACACGUGC